rnacentral:rRNA from 1 species
UACGUAGGUGGCGAGCGUUAUCCGGAUUUACUGGGCGUAAAGGGAGCGUAGGCGGAUUUUUAAGUGGGAUGUGAAAUACUCGGGCUCAACCUGGGUGCUGCAUUCCAAACUGGAAAUCUAGAGUGCAGGAGAGGAAAGUGGAAUUCCUAGUGUAGCGGUGAAAUGCGUAGAGAUUAGGAAGAACACCAGUGGCGAAGGCGACUUUCUGGACUGUAACUGACGCUGAGGCUCGAAAGCGUGGGGAGCAAACAGG